rnacentral:rRNA from 2 species
GCAUAUCAAUAAGCGGAGGAAAAGAAACCAACAGGGAUUGCCUUAGUAACGGCGAGUGAAGCGGCAACAGCUCAAAUUUGAAAUCUGGCGUCUUUGGCGUCCGAGUUGUAAUUUGCAGAGGAUGCUUCGGCGUUGGCGCCGCCCAAAGUUCCUUGGAACGGGACGUCGCAGAGGGUGAGAGCCCCGUGUUCGGGCGGAUGCCUUCGCCGUGUGAAGCUCCUUCGACGAGUCGAGUUGUUUGGGAAUGCAGCUCAAAACGGGAGGUAAAUUUCUUCCAAAGCUAAAUACCGGCCGGAGACCGAUAGUGCACAAGUAGAGUGAUCGAAAGAUGAAAAGCACUUUGGAAAGAGAGUCAAACAGCGCGUGAAAUUGUUAAAAGGGAAGCGCUUGCGGUCAGAACUUGGCCGCCGUUGCUCGGGGAGGUCUUGCGCCUCCCUCGCUCUUCGGCGGCUGGGCCAGCAUCGGUUCGGGCGGCUCGAGAAAGGUCGCGGGAAUGUAGCUCCCUCCGGGGAGUGUUAUAGCCCGCGGCGCAAUAGGGCCCGCCUGGACCGAGGUCUGCGCAUUUGCUCGGAUGCUGGCGUAAUGGCCCCAAGCGGCCCGUCUUGAAACACGGACC